rnacentral:rRNA from 1 species
GUGCCAGCCGCCGCGGUAAUACAGAGACUGCAAGCGUUAUUCGGAUUCACUGGGCGUAAAGGGUGCGCAGGCCGCCGUGUGUGUGAGGUGUGAAAUCCCGGAGCUUAACUCCGGAACUGCGCCUCAAACUACAUGGCUAGAGCAUUGGAGAGGGAAGUGGAAUUCACGGUGUAGCAGUGAAAUGCGUAGAUAUCGUGAGGAACACCAGAGGCGAAGGCGACUUCCUGGACAAUUGCUGACGCUCAGGCACGAAAGCGUGGGGAGCAAAAGGGAUUAGAUACCCCCGUAGUCC